rnacentral:lncRNA from 1 species
CUUAAAAUGAUCUCAUCCUCCUUCACCGUCAGCCAAGCCGACUUGUCCUUGCUGUUUGCACAGGUUUUACUGCAUUGCCGGAUCCAUCACACCAUCUCCCACAAAUGGGAUUUCAGGGGCUCCGUGUCCAGUGGACCACUUUUGUCCAUUGGGCAGUGAGAGUCCCACUCCCUGCCCUCCUGGCUCCUAUGCUGCUGAGACCCACAGGCGGGAACGGUGCCACCCCUGUCCGGAGGGAAAAUACUGCCUCCUGGGUCACUCCCUACAACUGUGUCCCGAAGGUGAGUAGCCAGCUUCUCCACCAGGAAGGUACAGACCUGUCUAGUCUUCUACGGUUCUUCCUUGUAAAGUUCUGAUGGAACUCCCUCAUCUUUUAGGGUGGAAGGGCGCUCAGAAUGUCAUGGUUAUAAUAGAUAUGAGCAUGUGUAGUUCUCUUGUGUGCUCACUGUUUGCCCGAUGAAUCUGAGGUUUAUUCUCCACUCUGACUCAAGUUUGGUUUCACUAGGAGACCUCCUGAAAUUAACAAAACAAAGGGCAAUGCUGAAUUUAAAGUCUUGAAACCUUUGAGUUGUGCAAGGUUGUCAAAAAGACAUGGAAAUCAGGAUGAUAUCCUUUGGAGUCUGUCAGAUCCAAUGAAACACGCUCUUGUCUACAAAAGGCCAUGCUAUAUGUCAAGGGUGCUUGAUUAUCUUAACCUGAAGACUCUCACAUGGUUUAUAAGAAAGGCUUGCAUGUGGUCUCCCAUCCAAGCACUGACCGGCUUCUGACCUGCUUAGCUUCAGUACAGUUGCCUUCCACUUAUAGGAUGGGACCUGCUGCUUUUCUCUUGCUCUGAUGCAUCAGCCCAGCAUUAAGUUAUUUGGGAAGCAAGAAAGGUGUGUUUGGCUAAAGAGGCCAGUGUUUGCCUGCAUAGUUAAAACAGAUGUGCUCUUCCCUUCCAGGCUUCUACUGCCCUGAAGGAACAGGCUUAAACUGGCACCCCUGUCCCCCAGGAACCUACAGUCCUACCCCAGGGAUCAGCCGUAUUACUGACUGCAGAGCGUGUGAUGGAGGGAGGUUCUGCCUGUACCACAAUGCCACUGAUGUCACUGGAUUGUGUUGGGAAGGGUAUUACUGCACCCAAGCAUCAGACCGGCCUAAUCCUGACACCCACCCAAAUGGUCUGGCUGGACCGUGUCCUGCUGGCCACUACUGCCCAAGAGGAACGGCAGUUCCCCAACCAUGCCCGGUGGGGACCUCUGCCGCUGGGACGAAGCUGAGCUCUGAGGUAAGGCUGAUGCACACAGAUACAGAGUUAUGGCCCUCUUUUAUUGGAUUUGGGAAUUAUCUCCUUUUAUGGGUCUAAUUUAUAUAGGGUAUAAAUUCACCAGCCACCGAGCCUUUUGCAAAACAGAUAAAAAUUAAUGGCGGUUAAAUAGGAGCUGCGUUCUAGAAUAUUACACAAAAAGUGUUUUCCUUGUAUUAUAAGUCCUCUCCGCACACACGAACGCACAGUUCCUCUCCCGUUUUGUGCUCAGGAU